rnacentral:rRNA from 1 species
CGCUCCUUGUUAUAUCAAAAUAUAAGGAGUCGAACCUGCCCAGUGAGAUUUUUAACGGCCGCGGUACUCUGACCGUGCAAAGGUAGCAUAAUCAUUUGCCUUAUAAUUGAAGGCUUGUAUGAAUGGUUUGACGAAAUCGAUACUGUCUCUUUUUUAUUUUAUAGAAUUUGACUUAAGGGUGAAGAGGCUCUUAUUUUACUGAAGGACAAGAAGACCCUGUCGAGCUUAAAAAAUAAAUGGAGAAUUAAUAUAAAAUUAAAUAAAUAAAAUACCAAAUAAUUUUUUUGGUUGGGGCGACUGAGGAACAAAAAAAGCUUCCUCUAAUUUUUUAUGUCUUACGAGCUAGAGAUCCAGUUAUACUGAUUACAGGAAUUAGUUACCGCAGGGAUAACAGCAUAAUCUCUCUUAAGAGACCAUAUCGAAAGGGGGGGUUGUGACCUCGAUGUUGGACUAGGGUAUCCUAAAGAUGUAGAAGUCUUUAAAGGUUGGUCUGUUCGACCAUUAAAAUCCU